rnacentral:tRNA from 1 species
GCAGAUGUAGCUCAGUUGGUAGAGCGCGACCUUGCCAAGGUCGAGGUCACGAGUUCGAACCUCGUUAUCUGCUCCA